GUUGGCGGGGUAACGGCCCACCAAACCGACGAUGGAUAGGGGUUCUGAGAGGAGGGUCCCCCACAUUGGUACUGAGACACGGACCAAACUCAUACGGGAGGCAGCAGUGAGGAAUAUUGGUCAAUGGCCGAGAGGCUGAACCAGCCAAGUCGCGUGAAGGAUGAAGGAUCUAUGGUUUGUAAACUUCUUUUAUAGGGGAAUAAAGUGUGGGACGUGUCCCAUUUUGUAUGUACCCUAUGAAUAAGCAUCGGCUAACUCCGUGCCAGCAGCCGCGGUAAUACGGAGGAUGCGAGCGUUAUCCGGAUUUAUUGGGUUUAAAGGGUGCGUAGGUGGUAAUUUAAGUCAGCGGUGAAAGUUUGUGGCUCAACCAUAAAAUUGCCGUUGAAACUGGGUUACUUGAGUGUGUUUGAGGUAGGCGGAAUGCGUGGUGUAGCGGUGAAAUGCAUAGAUAUCACGCAGAACUCCAAUUGCGAAGGCAGCUUACUAAACCAUAACUGACACUGAAGCACGAAAGCGUGGGUAUCAAACAGGAUUAGAUACCCUGGUAGUCCACGCAGUAAACGAUGAUUACUAGGAGUUUGCGAUACACAGUAAGCUCUACAGCGAAAGCGUUAAGUAAUCCACCUGGG
rnacentral:rRNA from 1 species